GUCUUGAACUCCUGUCCCCGUCCCCAGUGCAGAGUGCUGGAGGCAUGCUCCAUCAUGUUUGGCUAUGUGGAGGUUUCUUUAAAUAGCAGUUUCUGAAGGUGUUUAGUUUUAUUCUAUAGCCCAUAAUCCCUCCCCAAAUGACUACAGUGCAGAAUGUGCCUUUGGUGUGUAUUCUUUCAAGCUUGGCUCUGUACCUUCUACUUCCUCUCUACCCACCCAGACCUGGAUCUUUUAGUUUUGCAAACUGCCUUUCUAUUUUUAUCCACCCUAAGAUUUUAUCUAUGUUCCUGAAAGGACUCUUGAUAAAUCCCAUUGGUUUGCAGUAAUCACAGAAUGGCAAUAGGAUUCUUCUUUCUGUCAGUAUCUUGGGUCUUUUCAAAUGCAGGGAAUUUCAAAUAUGAAUAUUUUGUGUCAAGAAGAGGGAAGAAAAUGAGCAGCCAAACUCUGAUCCUCUCUGAAGUCGAAUUAGCGCUCAGAAGACAAUGAAAUUCUACCCUACGCUCCUGCUGCCACCGUGACCUGCAGACUCACCUGAAGCCGUCACUUUAUGACUGCGUGGAGCUUUGCUCUUCACUCUGGACUAUUCAAGUGGAAGAAGGAAGAGGAGAUGAAGGAAUCUGGGGCUUUGACAUAGCAGAUGGCAGCAUCGUUUGCAGAUAAACUUCUAUGGUAUCAUCCACAUUUUACAGAGAAGCAUGGGACACAGCAAGGAAGAAGUAAAAUCUAGAUUCAAAUUCUACAGCCUAACUCAGAAGAUCAUACUCUUAGUAAAUAUUGUUUAUAUUUA